rnacentral:rRNA from 1 species
AUUUAUACACACCGCCCAUCACUCCUACCGAUUGAAUGGUCUAUGAAGUGUUUGGAAUACUAUGAUGUGGGUAGUUUGCUGCCCAUGACUCUGUGAGAAGUCCAUUGAAACUUAUCAUUUAGAGAAAGGAUACAACAUAAUAAGAUUUUAAUAGCUGAACUAGUAGAAUGAUCAUUGUCGAGAUCAAAAUACAUCAAGCAAUUUUUAGUAACUGUAAAAUAAGCGGUGGCUCUUUCUACUGACAUAAAAUUUAUCCCAGUCUUUGCCUUAUCCCCUCUUUUGGUCAUGUACAUGAUGAAGGAUGGCUAAACCCUCAAAUGAGCACAACAAUGCACCUAGGAAAUAUAAAAACAUGAGCUCUUAAGAGGGUUUUUUGGGAUGGGGUGCUAUCCCAUGCCAUAUAGAUUGACACAAUUGUUGGUAAUGGAUAUCUCAGCUCUCCCAUCGAUGAGGAGUGAAACAAAAUGUGAUAAGUGGUGCAAUUUGUAGAAUCCCAUAAACCAUCGAGUCUUUAAAUGUAAGUUGCACCCAAGGCCAACAGGAUAAAGGUAUGUCUACCUAGGGGUCAAUAUUUUGUCACUCCCUAUCUAGUCUCACAUCAAUGGAUGUGCUAAUGAGUUCUUGAAAGUGCAUAGUGGCUCAUCAUACUCUCAGUAUAGUGGGCGAAAGGGUGGGUCAUCAUCUCAUUGGUGUUAAUAAUAAUGGGUGGAUUAAAAAGAAGGCCUAUACUAUUAUAUCAUGCAUGAUUGAGAGAUAAUCAUACUUUAUAGGUGAUCCAAAAUCUUUUGGCAUUCCACGGAUGGAGUUCUAUCAAGAAAAUCUAAUAAUUAGAUACAUUAGGGGCAGAAUGCCCUCCGCCUAUUCUCAAACUUUAAAUAUGUAGGAUGGCUAGGCUGCUUUAAUGAGACGUGCCACAAAAUUAAUGGCUCCUAGUGGGCCAUUUUUGGUAAGCAAAAAAGGCUAUGCCAGAUAAACCGAAAGAUAGGUUAUUGUGCCCAGUUGUGAGCUAACCCAGAACACACAACGGGUGUUGGUUAAUUAAGAUAGCAUGAUGGUGGUCAUAAAAGUCAAAAUUUGCUAAGGAGUGUAUAACAAAUCACUUGUAAAAUCAACUAUCCCCAAAAAUGGAUAAUACCUAAGUGCGUGACCCACACCGAGACAUUAGAGUAAUGGCCAUGCCCAAAUGAGUAGCGCCCGCCAUAAAACUUGAGGCAUGAGCCCGUGAAGAGAUCCCAUAAGUGCAGAUCUUUGUGGUAGUAGCAAAUAUUUAAAUGAGAGCAAUAAACGUUGAAGGGGCAAAAGGAUCCUUGUGAAUAGCACUUGAACAUGGGUUAUCCGAUCCUAAGAGAUAGGAGAGGUCUGUUAGACAGCGCCACUUCAUGUGAGCUUUGAAAGGGAGUCGGGUUAAAAUUCUCAAGCUAGGAUAUGGUGGCUAACAGUAAAGCUAGGUAGUUCAGAGACCUCGAUGGGGGCCUUGGAAAGAGUUUUCUUUCCUUCUUUAUAGCAUACCAUCCUAAAAAAGGCAUAACUAGACAUAGGGUCCAGCAGCUAAAGGAGUGUCACAUGUUGAGUGGAAUCCAGUGCCACCCACUGGCCCCUUAAAAUCUAAAUGAUCAAGUAUUAUCCACGCCAAGUCGUACUCAAAAUGCAUCAGGUCUCCUAUGGUCGAUGGAGCAAUGUAGGCAAGGGAAGUCAGUAAAAUAGGUUAGUAACUUCAGCAAAAAGGAUUGGCUCUGAGGGUUAGGCAUGUGGGUACCAGUCUCGAAUCUAAUGGAUUUUGAUGGACUACUUGAGUUACACUCAUGGUGUGUUCGAGCCUCCGCGUGCAGGAUGGGGGACGGGUUCGAAACUGCUCUCCUGGGGGCCUUUCCCUGGCAUCAAACAACUGACUCAAAAAUUAUAUUAUCAAGGGUAAUCUGACUAUUUAAUUUUAAAAAAAGUAUUGCGAUGGUCCCAGUACGUGGUCACUCAAUGUGAUUUCUACCCAGUGCUCUGAAUAUCAAAGUGAAGAAAUUCAACCAAGAGCUGGUAAAUAAUGGGAGUAACUAUGAGUAAAAUAUCUCAUCAUCUAAUUAGUGAUGGGAAUGAAUGGAUUAAUGAGAUUCUCAUUGUCCCUAUCUACUAUCUAGCAAAACCAUAAACAAGGGAAUGGGCUUGGCAAAAUCAACGGGGAUAAAAGACUCUGUUAAGCUUGACUCUAGUCAGACUUUGAGAAAUGACUUGAGAGGUGUAGGAUAAGUUGGAGGUGCUCCUUGGUAGAAGUGAAUACCACUACUUUUAAAGUUAUUUUAUUUAUUAUGUGAGAUGGAGGUGGGGCCUGGCCCUAGUGGGUCGAUCUGGAUAGAAUAUAUAUUCAGGUGGGGAGUUUUGCUAGAGUGGCAUAUCUAUUAAAAAAUAAUGCAGGUGCCCAAAGAUAAGCUUAAUGAGAAUAGAAAUCUCAUGUGGAAUAAAAGGAUAAAAGCUUGUUUGAUUCUAAUUCUCUAAGCAAAUAGGAACCGUGAAAGCAUGGAUUAUUGAUCCUUUAGUCAUUUAGAAUUUGAAGCUAGAGGUGUCAUAAAAGUUAUGAUAGGGAUAAUUGGAUGUGGCAGCCAAGUGUUCAUAAUGAUGUUGCUUUUCAAUCCUUUGAUGUUGGCUCUUCCUAUCAUUGUGAAGUAUAAUUCAACAAGUGUUGGAUUGUUCACCCAUAAAUAGGGAAUGUGAUUUGGUUUUAGACCAUCGUGAGAUAGGUUAAUUUUGUCUCACUUAUUAUCAUGCCACGAUAAUAAUUCAAUCUAAUAUGUGAGGAACUAUUGAUCCACAUUAUUGGGCAUUGCGCUUGGCUGAAAAGCCUAUGGCAUAAAACUACUAUGUGUAGUCCUAUGACUGAAUGCCUCUAAGUCAGAAUCCGUGCUAAAAAAAGAACGAUUGAGUCCAUCAUUCGCCUGCCAACAAGUAUUAUGGGUUUUGCCCCGAUGGUCCCGUGACAUUGGAUGCUUUCAUGUUGGUCAUCUAGAUCACUUGUACGAAGGCCCUGAUAUGCAGUUC